AACGAACGCUGGCGGCGUGGAUAAGACAUGCAAGUCGAACGGGAGUUUAUUUAUAGCAAUAUGAGUGAACUCUAGUGGCGAAAGGGUGCGUAACACGUAGCUACCUACCUCGAAGUUGGGGAUAGCUCGGCGAAAGCCGGAUUAAUACCGCAUAAGCUCUGAGGAGGAAAGCGGGGGACCUGGUAACGGGCCUCGCGCUGUUGGAGCGGCCGAUGUCGGAUUAGCUAGUUGGNGGGGUAAAGGCCCACCAAGGCGACGAUCCGUAGCUGGUCUGAGAGGAUGAUCAGCCACACUGGAACUGAGACACGGUCCAGACUCCUACGGGAGGCAGCAGUGGGGAAUUUUGGACAAGUGGGGGCAACCCUGAUCCAGCCAUUCCGCGUGAGUGAAGAAGGCC
rnacentral:rRNA from 1 species